rnacentral:lncRNA from 1 species
AUAAUAAGGAAUCCAUAUACAAUAAAAUACACAAGCUUCUAAAACCCUGCAUACAUCCAUUAAAGAGUCACAUGAAUCUUUCAUUCUUUCAAUUGUAUCAACUUUGCUUGGAUCUAGCUUUCUUCCAUAAAACCUAUACAAAUAUCCAACAAUAAGUACUUCCUAUAUUCCAAAUAUAGAUUUUAUUCCUGAAAGUGUAAGAUGAACCUCUUCAAGUCGAGUUAAAAUCUUUCCACAAUCU